UCGUUUGGUGGAGAACGGUGAAUCAGAGACGAAGUCUGCGAAACAGUGUGCAUCUCCGACUUCAAAUGUGACAAACGAGCCUGAGGUGGCUCAGAAAUGCCCUAAGUUAGGCAUGACUUCUGUGCGUGGAAGGAGGAGAGAUAUGGAAGACGCUGUGGCCAUUCACCCCUUGCUUUGCCGCCGGAGUAGUCAGAAUCCGGCGGAUUUGCACUUUUUCGGCGUUUACGACGGCCACGGUUGCUCACAUGUGGCGAUGAAGUGCAAAGAUCGAUUGCACGAGAUAGUGAGAGACGAGCUCGAAAGCCACGAAGAAGAUUCGUGGAAGAAAAUGAUGGAGCGAAGUUUCUCUUCUUGCAGAGUUACGGCUGUGGAGAGUGGAAGGUAUGUGUAGAAAAUUCCAGCGGGCAGCAAAGGCAAAGGUGUCGGCCGGCUGCCCGCCGGUGAGAAAGAAAUACAGGCUUAAAUCUUAUCGCUCUGAUACCAUGUAAGAAAUAAUGUAUAGAAAAAAAGAGAGAGAAUAAAUUGUAUGUAUUAUUAUUGAUUGAUGUAAUGUUAUAUAUAUUACAAUGAUUCAUGAAUUGGGUCCUUCUCCGAUAGAUGUCUUUAGAGGUGGAUAUAGGCAGUCACAAGAAUAGACUCGUCUCAUCUAGACACAAGUUCAAGAGCAACUUAACCAACAUAGAGUGUGAAUGGAGAUGCAAAUGAAGGAGAUGAUGGAUGCCAUACUUAGUGAGAUGCUAGGCACAAUCCAAGCUCGACAAGCACAAAUAGAGCAAUUGGUGUCUCAACAGGCCAUGGGUGGGCCUGUUGCACCAGUUGCUACACAUGUGCAUUUACAACAACAAUCCUAUGCAAGCACCUCAUCAUUUAAUUGCCAUCGUUCGUCCCAAGAAGCAAGACGGGCAUCAUCUAGGAGAGAAGUCCUUCAUACUGAUUUUCUCACACCACCUAUCCUGAACGAAUCUAUUAUAGUAUUGGGAAAGUUAGCUGACAUCAAAGCAGUGGCUCAGGGGAGAUACCCACAGGCUGAGCGUUUUCGGCUUUCAGUUGGACAUCCACAAGCAUUUACAACCGAUCCAAAUAUCAUUGCGGCAUUAAGUAUCACAGGAAACUUUGGGUUUCACCCUUGUUCUCAUGGUGACUUCCUUGGCACAAUUCUUGUCACAGGGAUUGCUAGGGAGAAGUUGGGGGAUAUUAUCUUGCAGGGAGAAAGGGGAGCUCAGGUUCUUAUUGUUCCAGAACUUGUUGACUUCAUCACAGCAGCAUUGGACAAGGUUCCUGAAUGCAUCGACAAGCUUGCACAAGUUGGAAUAAAAAUAUGGGUUUUGACAGGAGACAAGAUGGAGACUGCAAUUAAUAUUGGGUAUGAUUGGUAGAUAUGACUUUCCACAUCAGUUAGACUUCAAGUCUAAUACUAACAAAUAAUAUUAAACUCGGAGGCACCAGGGUUUAAAGCGCUGGAGAAAGCUGGGAAUGAGUCUGCCAUCCGUGAGGACUUCGUAUCAGGAGAUCCCACUGUGAUCCCUCUUGGGAACUAUCAGGAGGCUCAUGUUUGCAAUUCAAAGUCUGGAGAUUGUGCUGCAUUCCUUGCAAACUACAAUUCUAAUUCCUUUGCAAAGUUGGUUUUUGGGAAUAUGCACUACAACCUGCCUCCUUGGUCCAUCAGCAUUCUUCCCGACUACAAGAUAUGUUUAUCGAACUGAUUUAUUUUGUUAUUGUUAUUAUUUUUUUGUUGGAGUCUUAAUCUGUAGUCCCUAAAAAUUGGCCAGUAGUUUCUUCAGUUGGUGUUCUAACUCAGCAAUGAAAUAUGCAAUUGAAUGAUUUUUCAUUUGUCGAGUUGAGGAUGUUUUCAUAAUAUUAGAAGACUUAGCAGCAGAACACCUGGUGUUUGGAUACUCUGAAGGACUUCAUUAUGAUGUGGAAAAGAUGGUUUUUUUGCGUGGACUUGUGGAUAAUCCAUAUUGGUAUAAUGACUGUCGUGGUACAUAGAUCACCUUCUGUCGUGGUACAUAUGUACCAUUUGUCAGCGUACAUAUAGGACGUUUAGUCAUGGUCCAUAGAAAAAUUUUGUCGUGGUACAUAUAUUACCUUUUGUUGUGGUACAUAUCACGAUGGUAAUUUGUACCAUGCCAAAUGGUAAUUUCGCUUAGUAGUAAAUGUAUUUUUUUUUUUGUAUACGGA